rnacentral:rRNA from 1 species
UGGGGAAUAUUGCACAAUGGGCGCAAGCCUGAUGCAGCCAUGCCGCGUGUAUGAAGAAGGCCUUCGGGUUGUAAAGUACUUUCAGCGGGGAGGAAGGUGUUGAGGCUAAUAACCUCAGCAAUUGACGUUACCCGCAGAAGAAGCACCGGCUAACUCCGUGCCAGCAGCCGCGGUAAUACGGAGGGUGCAAGCGUUAAUCGGAAUUACUGGGCGUAAAGCGCACGCAGGCGGUCUGUCAAGUCGGAUGUGAAAUCCCCGGGCUCAACCUGGGAACUGCAUUCGAAACUGGCAGGCUAGAGUCUUGUAGAGGGGGGUAGAAUUCCAGGUGUAGCGGUGAAAUGUGUAGAGAUCUGGAGGAAUACCGGUGGCGAAGGCGGUCCCCUGGACAAAGACUGACGCUCAGGUGCGAAAGCGUGGGGAGCAAACA